GACUGGAGGUGUGUCUGUCCGGCGUACGGACCGACCCGGAAACGGCCGGGAGCGGGGCGGGAAGGCUCAGGCCUCGCCCACGCUGCUCCGCCCCGCUUCUCCUUGACUAAGGCCCCGCCCCGCUUGCGUAAUUUCCUGCCGACGCGGAAGCGGAUUUCGGGAGUGAAGGCCCCCUCGGGCCCAGGAGGUCCAGACAUCUCUGUGUGCAAAUCCCCGAGCCCUGGGCCAUUGGAGGGCUUUGAUCUCGGUGAUCCAAAGCCAGCAGCUACCAGCACACUUAACGUUGCACGUGAUUCUGUUGGACAACGUGGGUCCAGAGACGAGUCAGUUCCUGCUUUGGGAGCAGAGUGUCCUCCGUGUGGGAUGUCCUGCCCGCCGGACCUUGGGCAGCAUCUCCAGCGUCAUCCACCAGAUGGCAGUAGCUCCUCUCUCUCCAAUACGACUUUGCCAAAGUCCCUAAGGGCUUGGAGUAACCCCAUCUGUCCGUGCUGCAGAUUUUAUAGAGCAGACCCAUUGUUUCUGUUGAGUCCCCACGAAGCCUGUGGACUGGACACACGGAUAAGCAUCCUUGCAAUUCUGGGACACCUCUGUCCAGCUUGGUCUUUGCAGUUAAUUGACGUCUCCACAACCAUUCAUCAGCGUGAAAGGCCCAGCAGCUGGCAGGAGGACUAA
rnacentral:lncRNA from 1 species